GGUUCGGUGGCCUAAUGGUAAGGCGUCACUUUCCGGUGGUGAAGAUUGCGGGUUCGAGUCCCGUCCGGAUCG